CCCGGCAGUGGAAAAGAAAACCACGAGACAGAAGCCAGGAAAGAACGAACUUUCUUUCUUCGUAGCAGGCGACAGCAGAAAUCGAAGGGGCUUUGGGUCGCCUUUGAUAGACGAUCCCGUUAAUAAGCGAGAGAGCGGUGAAAGGUGGGCAGCGAUCCGACGAGGCGCCUCCACUCUCUCGUAGAAUCGUCUUUCGGUUCCCCCAAGAAAGAUGUCGAUCUUUUCGAACUCCCACUCUCCUGAAAGGAGACGGAAUCAAUCUCGUCCCUUGCAGAUUUGUACAAUUCAAGCCUCUUUGCACACUGCAUCCUGCGUUCCAUCAAGGCUGGAUUCUCAUCCAAGAUAGAUGCGAGCUGCUUUCCCUGUACGGCAAACUAGCAUUACAAUCGUAUCAUAAUAAAAGGACGCGAAAGACAUGAUCUCAAGUUAUCAGUUGCAGAAACAAGCCAACCUCCUUUUUCCCCACUUGCGUAUAGAAAUGAUUGAGCAGAGAUCGCUUGGCUUCUCGAACUUGACAGUAGACCACAGCUUUUGGUAUAGUGUUUCUGAGUGUGUCUGAUACCAUGCUAAUGUACGCGGAUACAUUUGAUCCUAUCCUCCUGAAAUGUCCCUCGCCAUAUCGAUCAAUUGUAGGACCAGCAGGAUUACUGUCAUCAGGUUUUUUGCCAGUAGGAUUACUACCAGCAGGGUUAUUGCCCCUUUCCACCUCUUGCGGGAGCUUGCGGAAGAAUUCCACUGUCAAGUAUGAGGCCUCCAUGUCAACAAGUCGAAGUGCAGUCUUUCGACUGUCUUCGCGGAAUCUUUCCAGGGCUUCAUAUGCGGCAGCGGCUAACUCUGUUUGCAGAGUGGGGAACCUUCUCAAUUCCUGUCAGUUUGAAUAGACCGGCGACUGAUUUGCUAUUUCAUGGGAACAAAUAGUGCUUCAUAUGAUGACAAAUGCAUAAAUUUUUACCUGA